UUUUCUUUAGCCUCAUUUUAUCUAUGCACACCCACAGUAUUAGGAGUGGGAAUUGAUGUUCUACCCCCAGAUAUGGAGUUUUAUUUAGCUUUUGUUUCUUCCUCAUUCAUCCAUUUGUUCAUCUCAGCAUGAACUAGUUAGUGGCUGUUAUUUUAUUACUUUGUCUUAUAAGUCAGAUUUCUUUACUGUUUUGUAGUCCUGCGGAUCAAGUCUGAUGUCUUACGUGUGUAGGCAGAUAGAUCAUGCUAGCAGCCACUGAGCUAUUCCACCAUCCCUUGACUUAUAAUUUAAUACUGUGUUUAAUUAGUUGCUCUAGUUAACUACUUUGCUGUUUUCAGUAGUGGUUGGAGCUCCUUGAGUUGUUCAUGUUCCCACGUGUCACAUACCUAGCAUUGUGUGUGCACGUGCUGACUUUCUUGUCUUAUUUAAUCCAAUUCUUACUUUCUGGCAUUACAAGAUGCUUCAGGCUUGUCUGUCUCUUACAUCACCUUUGUGCUUUCAUCAGCAUCUGACACUUUCAGUUACUUGGAUUUUAGCCUUUGGAAUAGAGAACACCAUCUCCUUCCUUGUCUUAAUUCCAUUUUUCUUUUACUGAGCUUUGUUUUCAUUUAUAUUGUUUGCAACUUGUUUGCCUUUUGGCAAUAUAACUGUUCAUAUCUUCUACCCAUAUUUAGUUGAGUGCACUUAGGAGUUCUGUGUGUAUUUUAGACACAAGUGUUUAAUAGCAUAUUAUUUUGUAAAUAUCGUUCCCACUUUGUUUUGUGUUUUCAUUUUUUUAACAGUGUCUUCUUCAGAAGUGUUUCAUUUUAAUACAGCCUUAUUGCUCUUUCAUGGCUUGUGCCUUUUGUUUGGGUUUUGUCUAAAACCUCAUCACCAAGCUUCAAUGUCACAAACUUUGUAUUUUGAAGUUUUGUUUUCUUCAUUUGUACACUACCAUUAUUAUCUGUACCAUCCAUCCUCCUUGCCGAGUUAAUGUCUUUCCCUUCUGGGUUGCUUGUUUCCAAGCUGCUUUACUAGGAAGUUUUCCACUCCUCACUUCCCCAGGAUAGAUGUGGUGCGUUUAAACUGUUCAGAGCCACAUGAAAGUAUCAAGUAUUUUAAUUCUCUUCAACUUUUCAUGAAAGUACUAAGUUCCUUUAUUUCUAGAUUUACAGUUCCUAUCCUCUAGUAAGUUUCUUGAAAUUAAAUUUGGUAUUUGUCAGUAUUUAUUUAAACAGUCUUUUUAUUGUAAGGAAGCAGUUAAUGUAUUUUUCUUUAGAAGUUCUUACCAGAUUAAACAAUAUCUAAAGUGUUCCUCUGUUCCAUAAAAGCUUUUGAUGUCUCUUUUAAAAUAGAAUUUUAUUGUAUGUAUAUAGUUGUUGUGCCUGGAUCUAUGUCUGUACAACCCAUGUGUGCCUAGUGUUGGAGGAGGCCAGAAAAGGGCAUUGGUUCCUUUGGAAUUGGAGUGACAGAUGCUUGUGAACCACCAGGUCAUCUGCAAGAGCAGUGAGCGCUUUACUGCUGAGCCGUCCCUCCAGCCUGUAGAGAGGACUUCUUAUGAACGCCUCCUGGUU
rnacentral:lncRNA from 1 species